GACGAACGCUGGCGGCGUGCUUAACACAUGCAAGUCGAACGAUGAAGCCUAGCUUGCUAGGUGGAUUAGUGGCGAACGGGUGAGUAAUACGUGAGUGACCUACCUUUGACUCUGGGAUAAGCCUGGGAAACUGGGUCUAAUACCGGAUACGACCAAUCUCCGCAUGGGGUGUUGGUGGAAAGCGUUAUGGAGUGGUUUUAGAUGGGCUCACGGCCUAUCAGCUUGUUGGUGAGGUAAUGGCUUACCAAGGCGACGACGGGUAGCCGGCCUGAGAGGGUGACCGGCCACACUGGGACUGAGACACGGCCCAGACUCCUACGGGAGGCAGCAGUGGGGAAUAUUGCACAAUGGGCGCAAGCCGGAUGCAGCGACGCCGCGUGAGGGAUGACGGCCUUCGGGUUGUAAACCUCUGUUAGCAUCGAAGAAGCGAAAGUGACGGAGGGCAGAGAAAGCGCCGCAUC
rnacentral:rRNA from 1 species